rnacentral:rRNA from 1 species
UACGGAGGGUGCUAGCGUUGUUCGGAAUCACUGGGCGUAAAGCGCGUGUAGGCGGUCCGUUAAGUCUGAUGUGAAAGCCCGGGGCUCACCCCCGGAAGUGCAUUGGAAACUGACGAACUCGAGUCCCGGAGAGGAGGGUGGAAUUCCUGGUGUAGCGGUGAAAUGCGUAGAUAUCAGGAGGAACACCGGUGGCGAAGGCGGCCCUCUGGACGGUGACUGACGCUGAGGCGCGAAAGCGUGGGGAGCAAACAGGA